UACCAGCACCCCGAGUGGUCGGGACGUUUUAUUGGGCCUAAAGCAUCCGUAGCCGGUUCUACGAGUCUUCCGUUAAAUCCAACUGCUUAACAGGUGGGCUGCGGAAGAUACUAUAGAGCUAGGAGGCGGGAGAGGCAAGCGGUACUCGAUGGGUAGGGGUAAAAUCCGUUGAUCCAUUGAAGACCACCAGUGGCGAAGGCGGCUUGCCAGAACGCGCUCGACGGUGAGGGAUGAAAGCUGGGGGGAGCAAACCGG
rnacentral:rRNA from 1 species